GCGGUAACUCAACCAGUCAUUGGAUCUAUUGUGACCAAACUGGUGGUGUUAACAGGGUUACUUUUUCUCUGAUUGAGUCUUAGAAGCUGAUAAUAUAAUGAUACGGUUAGUGCUGUUAGUAUUCCCCUCAGUCUAACCACAAUAAACCGGAAUUUCUUACUUAUCGGAAACUAAAACUGCAUCAGGAAACCCUGGAGAACCAGUACUGCUGUCAAAGACUGUUGUUGUGGUACUGCACCCAUUUGCAUGGGUAGUUGCCUCACCACUGCUGCUGUUUGGAGGAGCACUACCUGUAUGCCUAUCACCAGUCUCGUUACCAUCAGA
rnacentral:misc_RNA from 1 species